AUAUAUGAACACCAUUAUGGUGUUCAUACAUAACCACCGUGUGAAUCCAUUUUCCGGUGAGAGAGAAUGUUACAGGUUGUUUAUGUGGUGGUUGGAGAGAGGGAAUAAGAAAGAGAGAAUGGGCUAGGAGAGAUAAGAAGAAUGAGGUUUUAAGUCCCAUACGGUUGACUCCCUCACUUGUAUCUCUCUCCAAUAUCCUCCCUUAGUGACACUUGGCCAUACGCGGCCAGCACCUUAACCCUAUGAUUUGUUGACUUAGUCUCCUUUACUGAGCC
rnacentral:lncRNA from 1 species